UGCGAAGGGGGCUAGCGUUGCUCGGAAUUACUGGGCGUAAAGGGAGCGUAGGCGGACUGUUAAGUUAGAGGUGAAAGCCCAGGGCUCAACCUUGGAAUUGCCUUUGAUACUGGCAGUCUUGAGUACGGAAGAGGUAUGUGGAACUCCGAGUGUAGAGGUGAAAUUCGUAGAUAUUCGGAAGAACACCAGUGGCGAAGGCGACAUACUGGUCCGUUACUGACGCUGAGGCUCGAAAGCGUGGGGAGCAAACAGG
rnacentral:rRNA from 1 species